rnacentral:lncRNA from 1 species
UCUCUGCUUGCGCAUGCGCAAUGCCAGCCAGUGCCUGCGCGGCUUGCUCCAGCAAGGUAAAAUUUCCCACUGCGAGGCAGGCAGUGAUGCUGCGGCCGCUUCGCACUGUGGCUCCUGCCGACCGCCAGGCGCUGUUACAGUGGAUGCGAACUAACCGUAAGUCAUUAUAUCGUACUGCAGAAACCAGCUCAACUAUGCAAAACUACCACCAGGACUGGCCGACACCAGGAGGGAUUCCAGAGACCACACUGCAGGGAGCAUACAGAAAGAAAAUUAAGAGAUCAGAUGCAGCAGCAGCCGGAACCCACAGUUCACCUUGGUGCAUUCCUUUAUGAUGAAGACUUAUUGAUUCAUUAUAUGAGAAAGGAAAAAUGAGCAGAAACUACUGUAUGAUGUGCAGCUCACACCAGACAGCAACUUUAGGGUUAUCUUUCCAGUUCAGCAGUGCAACUCUAUGGAGUAGAAUUGAAAGGAGACUUUUCGCCAAUUGCAGGAAAUGGUCAUAAAAAAAUACCUGCUCACUGACAGAAUAAAGGUGCUUCAUGCAGACAUCUGUACACCAGAUUUACUUCUGCAAAAUGCUGAUGCUAUGAAUAAUGCUUUUGAAUAUUAAUAAGGCAAAACAGACCAGAAAAAAAAAAUUGUAUUUGAAGCUUCUUUGCAAAGAAAUGAGUGAAUGCAACUUCCUUAAAACCUACCUGCAUUCUGACAACAUGGGACCCACAAUUUAUGGGAUAAAAUGAAGCUUGAAAAUUACUUUAGGUUGAUGUUGAGAAGUUGGAACCCUCCUACAUUGCUGCACAUGUGCCUCACUCUUCAUGGUAAAUGUUUUACUGAAGAAUAACAUACAGAAAAGUGGACAAGUCUUAACUGCACAGCUCAAUGAAUUUCCAUGAAGUAAAUAUACCCAUAUGAUAAUCCAGCUCAAGAAACAGAAAAUCACUACCACCCCAGAAGACUGCCUUAUACUACCAUCUUUUAAGAGUGAAUCACACAUGGGAUAAGAUUAGCAUAUUCGUAGUCUGGAAAAUGCUAUACAAAGAAUGUAAAGCAUGAAACUACUUGUGGACCAAAUGAAAAACUGUGGAGCAGAUUAUGAUGCAGUUAGACCUUGCUUGAAUGACUUUGACCCACAAAAGCAGAGUAAUUUAUCCCUACUUACAGAGAGAUUGCCCUACGUGUAACAGCUGCAUACAAAAAAGUUAUAAAAUUAUCAUUGGUUUAACAAGGAUAAGUGAAAAACAUUAAAAUUCUCCAACUGAACAAGGUGUGUCUGUUUCAUUGAUUGGCUGACUGUCAAAUCGGAAUCUGAUCUGCCCCAUUGACAAUGCCUUGGGCUUUUCCUCGGCCAUGGCAAAUGCCAGAGUCUUCUCAGCUGCCGCUUCACAAAAGAGGUACCAGCUUCUCACUGAACGAACACAGUGCAGCACCAGGAGUGACAGAAGAAGGAGGCGGCAGCGGUGGUUGAGGGACAGGGUGCGUGCACGUCCAAGUACAGUUCUUAAAAUGUUGAGGGCAUACAACAUAUGCUCAAUAAAUACCUGAUUUUUAAAAAAGACAAUGACUAUGGAAAACUCUUGAUCAUUAACCCGAAGGGAGAGUCUAGUUUCCAGGAAGCAUUUGUUUGUAUACACUAUUUAACCCAAGGAUACACUCUUUUCUCCGUGGCAGCGUGACUCAUCUUAGUCUCCAAUUUUUGACCUGUGUCCUGCGCCUUGGCUGUUACAGGUGGAGGUGGAAAAGAAAUUGCCAUUGAUGCUGCAAAUAACUUCCUUCACCUUCUAACCUGGAGAUUCAUUGAAGGAAGAAAAAAGGUGACUGUCAGAGUCCCUGCUGGCCAUGCCUCUCAGCCACAGGACCACUGAGCCACUUAAUUCCUCCCCAGGGUCAGAUGUGCCCCAGCACCAGGUUGUUUAUGGAUACCCUAACCACCUUUUCACACUCCUUGAAGUUUAGCUUUAAAUGUUUUAAGAAUUAGCAAAGUGGGCCGGGCACGGUGGUUCAAGCCUGUAAUCCCAGCACUUUG